rnacentral:rRNA from 1 species
UACAGAGGGUGCAAGCGUUAAUCGGAAUUACUGGGCGUAAAGCGCGCGUAGGUGGUUUGUUAAGUUGGAUGUGAAAGCCCCGGGCUCAACCUGGGAACUGCAUCCAAAACUGGCAAGCUAGAGUACGAUAGAGGGUGGUGGAAUUUCCUGUGUAGCGGUGAAAUGCGUAGAUAUAGGAAGGAACACCAGUGGCGAAGGCGACCACCUGGACUGAUACUGACACUGAGGUGCGAAAGCGUGGGGAGCAAACAGG